UCUUCCUAGACUCUUUGUUGCUAAAGUUACACGACGCGGUAGCGUACCGACACACUGCAGCAAUCAUCGCGGUCGGUUCACCGGUGAAACGGCUUCGAAACGCGGCGCGUAAACGCGUCUUUACGCACCGCGCGUCCACGUGUCCGCGCGACACGGGAAAUACCUCGUUUUACGUAAUCCGCGGCCGCACCGGCCGCUCUUCGGAGAAGUCGUUCUCGCUCGCGUCGCUUAUGAAAUAUCGCGUUGGGGAAAAGUCUCGGCCCGCGCGAGCGAACCGAGUGGAGGAGCAGGUGAAAAGUCGGGAUGACGUCUCUGUUAUCGCGACCGAGCGUUCAUCCCUAAUGCUGCUGCUGACAUUAGGGGGCUGUCAGCUUUGAAAAUUGAACAACUUGAAUAAAUUUUCGGAAGAAAAGAAGAACAAAAAUUGAAAAUAUAGUUUGUCAAAAGAUAUGUCUUGCGGGGAACACACACAUCGAUGAAUGAAAAAUAUUUAAUAAUCGGGAUAUUUUUAAUAUCAGCUGGCCAGCUGGAUGUUGAGAUAACAAAGGACAUUUGAGCAGGAGCUCCCGCAGGAGUCUUUCUGUGGCUAAGAGGGAAUUUUCGUCUGGUCUUUGGCCGAUGAAAAAUUCAAUUGCACGAAGUGAGUCUCUCCUUCGAUUCGGAUUUUUCACGUGACGGAGAGACGACGAAUUUUGGUCCCAAGACGAAAUUAUUCCGUGAGGCUCAUCGAUUGCGCCAGAAUUCCAGGUUCUGUAAAUGUUCAUGUAAAUCCGGGCUGUUCAGCGAGAAAUCUCGCACACUAAUCACCCGAUUAUUCACAAAAUCGUCCCGUUCCCGUGCGGUUGUUUACAAGCGACGAGAGUAAGAGGAAGAGAAAGAGAGAAAGAGAGAGAGAGAGAGAGAAAGAUGAAUCGAUCAGGUCGUUGGUCCACGAACGUUGAAUCCGAUCGGCGCGGCGAACGGCAUAUUUCCAAUUCGAUCUCGGCGGGAGGACCUUGACCGAGAAUAACGAUUGGAUAGCUAUUCGCCAACGCGGCGCCAACAUUUGGCGUGCGAAGGACGACUUAUGCUUGCGAGCGAAGACGUUGAAGAGGCAAUCAAAAACGUGACGACAGGACGACAAGAAAAAUGGAGUUUACUUAAUAAUUGCUAAUUUACUUGAUUCUUUCGAUAUCGUACCUUAAUCUUUGACCUUGUCAAUUCAUCACGUAUGAUACCCUUGCAUUCUUUCUUGUAUCAGUGCGAUGAUCAUCAUUGCUUAUCACAAUGAUUAUUCACGAAAAAAUUAAUUUCUCUUAAACAAAUUUAGUUUAUUUUU